UACAGGGGGGGCAAGCGUUGUUCGGAAUUACUGGGCGUAAAGGGUUCGUAGGUGGCCAACUAAGUCAGACGUGAAAUCCCUCAGCUUAACUGGGGAACUGCGUCUGAUACUGGAUGGCUUGAGUGCAGGAGAGGAAUGCGGAAUUCCAGGUGUAGCGGUGGAAUGCGUAGAGAUCCGGAAGAACACCGGUGGCGAAGGCGGCCUGCUGGGCAGUUUUGCUGACACUGAGGCGCGACAGCGUGGGGAGCAAACAGG
rnacentral:rRNA from 1 species